UACGGAGGGGACUAGCGUUGUUCGGAAUUACUGGGCGUAAAGCGCACGUAGGCGGAUUUGUAAGUCAGGGGUGAAAUCCCCGGGCUCAACCCGGGAACUGCGUCCGAUACUGGCAGGCUUGAAUUCGGGAGAGGGAUGCGGAAUUCCAGGUGUAGCGGUGAAAUGCGUAGAUAUCUGGAGGAACACCGGUGGCGAAGGCGGCAUCCUGGACCGAGAUUGACGCUGAGGCGCGAAAGCCAGGGGAGCAAACGGG
rnacentral:rRNA from 1 species